AUUGAACGCUGGCGGCAUGCCUUACACGUGCAAGCCGAACGGUAACAGGUCUUCGGAUGCUGACGAGUGGCGAACGGGUGAGUAAUACAUCGGAACGUGCCUAGUAGUGGGGGAUAACUACUCGAAAGAGUGGCUAAUACCGCAUGAGAUCUACGGAUGAAAGCAGGGGAUCGCAAGACCUUGUGCUACUAGAGCGGCCGAUAGCAGAUUAGGUAGUUGGUGGGAUAAAAGCUUACCAAGCCGACGAUCUGUAGCUGGUCUGAGAGGACGAUCAGCCCCACUGGGACCGAGACACGGCCCAGACUCCUACGGGAGGCAGCAGUGGGGAAUUUUGGACAAUGGGCGAAAGCCUGAUCCAGCAAUGCCGCGUGCAGGAUGAAGGCCUUCGGGUUGUAAACUGCUUUUGUACGGAACGAAAAGCCCCGGGUUAAUACCCUGGGGUCAUGACGGUACCGUAAGAAUAAGCACCGGCUAACUACGUGCCAGCCGCCGCCGUAA
rnacentral:rRNA from 1 species